AUACUUACCUUGUGAGAAACCGGGGGGAUCACCAAGCCCACGGCUUUCAUUCGUGAGUCCGCAUUGCACAGCGCGGUACUUUCACAGUGACUAAAUGUCUUCGGGCAUUCAGCUCGCGUUAUUUUUGCUUUUAUAACUGAACUGUUAUG
rnacentral:snRNA from 16 species